GUACUCUUUCUUCGGAACACCGGUGACAGGUGGUGCAUGGUUGUCGUCAGCUCGUGUCGUGAGAUGUUGGGUUAAGUCCCGCAACGAGCGCAACCCCUGUCCUUAGUAGCCAGCAGUUCGGCUGGGCACUCUAGGGAGACUGCCAGGGAUAACCUGGAGGAAGGCGGGGAUGACGUCAAAUCAUCAUGCCCCUUAUGACUUGGGCUACACACGUGCUACAAUGGCGUAAACAAAGGGAAGCGAAAAGGUGACUUCUAGCAAAUCCCAAAAAUAACGUCCCAGUUCGGACUGUAGUCUGCAACUCGACUACACGAAGCUGGAAUCGCUAGUAAUCGCGAAUCAGAAUGUCGCGGUGAAUACGUUCCCGGGUCUUGUACACACCGA
rnacentral:rRNA from 1 species